rnacentral:rRNA from 1 species
UACGUAGGGACCAAGCGUUGUUCGGAUUUACUGGGCGUAAAGGGCGCGUAGGCGGCGUGACAAGUCACUUGUGAAAUCUCUGGGCUUAACUCGGAACGGUCAAGUGAUACUGUCGGACUAGAGUACAGAAGGGGCAACUGGAAUUCUCGGUGUAGCGGUGAAAUGCGCAGAUAUCGGGAGGAACACCGGUGGCGAAGGCGGGUCUCUGGGCCGAUACUGACGCUGAGGAGCGAAAGCGUGGGGAGCAAACAGG